rnacentral:lncRNA from 1 species
CCUCGAGGCACUGUGUCCAACAGGCUCCUCUCUGUCCUUCCAGCACUGUGGAGACGGCACUGGAAGGCAAAACGGAGAGCAUCCUGAAUUCCUGCUUCAACAGUGUCUUCUUUUUGCCUCCGGAACUGGACAUACCAGAAGAGGAGCAAACGCUCUACACUGAGGUGUGUGCUGGGUGAGCCACCGGAGCCCCAGGUCCCUUUGGGCAGCUCCCUGGCUCCUUGUGCUGAGACCAUAGGAGACCGAGGCAGGGCAGGGAUCCAGCAUUGCUUUUCCACCCUCAUCUCUUCUCUGGGGAUAGGGUUAGCAUGAGGUGCCCCGUGAGGUGCCGCAGGUGCUCUUCUACGACUCUCUGUCCUCUUGCAGACCAUGAUUGCCAUGGAAGUGAUGCUACAAGCCUUGGUGCAGAACUGCCCCGACUCCAGAAUGAGGGAGGAGCUGCGCAGUAUCUUUCAGGUCUGGCAGUUGCAAAGAGCGGCGUCACUUGGAGGGCUGCGCACCCCGAGGGAUGCGAGCGUCCCUGCUGCAGCGGCACAGACCCUCCUUGCACGUGACAGUCCUGCAAAAGAUCCUGUGCCCUGCGGCUCUGUUCUUCCUUCCCAGUGGGGAAGAUCCCCGAGCUCCUGCUGGAGCGGCAGAAGCUGCCAGGGCAGGCACCAGCAGAUUCUCUCUUUGCAGGCUCUGCUCCACUUCUUCAACUCCCAGCACCUUCAUGUUCGUACGAGAGCCCUGUACGGGGUUCUACGGAUGAUCAGGCAUUUUAUGGAAAAAGACUGGUGCAGCACUGGAAACUGCAGAUUACUAUAUGAGUCUGUCAUCGAGAUCUACUUCCCAAUCCUGGGAGAGCUGCUGGGUCACCUCUUCCUUUUCAGUUGUGGCCAAGAUACCAGCAGACUCCCAGCUACAGACGCGCUUUAUCGCCUCCAUGCAUUUGUCAGAGAUGAAAGAAGUAAGCGAAGAUGGGUCGGGCAGCGUCUCUCUGCUCCACCGUCCGCUCGUUUCUCCUGUUCUUUUGC